GAUGAACGCUGGCGGCGUGCCUAAUACAUGCAAGUCGAGCGAACAGAUGAGGAGCUUGCUCCUCUGACGUUAGCGGCGGACGGGUGAGUAACACGUGGAUAACCUACCUAUAAGACUGGGAUAACUUCGGGAAACCGGAGCUAAUACCGGAUAAUAUAUUGAACCGCAUGGUUCAAUAGUGAAAGACGGUUUUGCUGUCACUUAUAGAUUGUUCCGCGCCGCAUUAGCUAGUUGGUAAGGUAACGGCUUACCAAGGCAACGAUGCGUAGCCGACCUGAGAGGGUGAUCGGCCACACUGGAACUGAGACACGGUCCAGACUCCUACGGGAGGCAGCAGUAGGGAAUCUUCCGCAAUGGGCGAAAGCCUGACGGAGCAGCGCCGCGUGAGUGAUGAAGGUCUUCGGAUCGUAAAACUCUGUUAUUAGGGAAGAACAAAUGUGUAAGUAACUAUGAACGUCUUGACGGUACCUAAUCAGAAAGCCACGGCUAACUACGUG
rnacentral:rRNA from 1 species